rnacentral:tRNA from 1 species
GUCGCGAUGGUCGAGUGGUUAAGGCGUUGGACUUGAAAUCCAAUGGGGUUUCUCCGCGCUGGUUCGAACCCUGCUCGCGACU